GAUGAACGCUGGCGGCGUGCCUAAUACAUGCAAGUCGAGCGAACAGAUGAGAAGCUUGCUUCUCUGAUGUUAGCGGCGGACGGGUGAGUAACACGUGGGUAACCUACCUAUAAGACUGGGAUAACUCCGGGAAACCGGGGCUAAUACCGGAUAAUAUUUUGAACCGCAUGGUUCAAUAGUGAAAGACGGUUUCGGCUGUCACUUAUAGACGGACCCGCGCCGUAUUAGCUAGUUGGUAAGGUAACGGCUUACCAAGGCGACGAUACGUAGCCGACCUGAGAGGGGGAUCGGCCAAACUGGAACUGAGACACGGUCCAGACUCCUACGGGAGGCAGCAGUAGGGAAUCUUCCGCAAUGGGCGAAAGCCUGACGGAGCAACGCCGCGUGAGUGAUGAAGGUCUUCGGAUCGUAAAACUCUGUUGUUAGGGAAGAACAAAUUUGUUAGUAACUGGACAAGUCUUGACGGUACCUAACCAGAAAGCCACGGCUAACUACGUGCCAGCCGCCGCAGUAA
rnacentral:rRNA from 1 species